rnacentral:ncRNA from 1 species
AAAAGCCAAACCUGGCGGAAGCCGGGGACGGAAAGCCACGGGUCCUAAAUCGAACUUCGGAUAGCCGGGUUGCUGA